AUGCUCAUUUUCCACUGGCUGAUCAUGGGCAAACCCUCAAUCACAUCCAAACCCUGCUGUGCUACCACGAAUGCUGGAAAGAGACUGCUCAAGGAUACUCUUGGAAUGCAAAGACAAAUUCCAGGUAAACUGAGGCACGGCGCUGCUGAAGCCUUAAGCUCCAUUUCCCUCUGGCUGCAGGGGAGCUGUGCAUGUUCAGCACCUCUGGAAGUCAGAGCAGCAAGGACAGGCACAGACCAACCCCAGAACUGCGGCACCAACCAGAGGAACACCAGAAAUCAAUCCCAUCCCACAGGCUAUGCCAGGCUCGUGUCUAUCUGUUGGAAGGCUCCCAGGAUCAGAGCGAUUCCCCACUGUUUAGCAACCCCUGCCUCUGUGUCAGCCCCAUUAGCAGCAGCACUGCUAUCGAUUCUCCUGGUCACAGUGAGGUGGACGUGA
rnacentral:lncRNA from 1 species